ensembl:lncRNA
GCAGGGCUCAAGCGGGAUACAUUCGCGGCCAACAAUCCCUUUCUCCUCCAUGUCGUGGUUCAUGUAGCCUACUUCAGGGAGUCAAAGCCAAAGUUCCUUUCCCCAAUUCAUUCUCAACCAUGGCUGAGAUAACCCCCACUACGAGUCUCGUUGUAGAAAUACCAGAGACGAGAGUCCGACGCGCCAUCACACCAACAGCAGAACGGUUAUCCAAAUAACAAGGAAGUGUACAACACUUGCGUUACAGUCCUGGAGCUCUGCUCUAUAUCUAAAUAAUAUCAUAUAAUACAUAGAUAUCUAUAUCAAAUAAUACAUAUUAUCACGGCCAAAAGCUGUGUGCGCGUCCAGACGAUAUAAUGAAUCACAAAGGACUUCGUCGGGUUCUCCGACGUCUCUGGUUCUUCCACUUCCACAUCAAUCUGAAGUAGACGCGGUCGUUUGAGAUUCAUAAUAACCUAUCGUCUGGAGGCUCACACAGCUUUUGGCCGUGAUAAUAUAUAUCAUAUAUUAUAUGAUAUAGAUAUCUAUGUAUAAUAUGGGUUUCUACGAGCCAUUGCGAUGCAUCCACCGUAAACAGAGCGCAUGGUACUGUCAGUGGCUACAAGCUGCUCAGGGCCACACCCCCACCCCCCUCCUUGACCUGCCUUGACACGCCCACCGAAACAGCGCGUUUGGGGGGAAGCUCAAUGUGCGACUGUUUCGGAGUGACUGUAACUCUGCACCACGGCUGAAUUUCGGGGACGUCUUUGAAUACUGUGUUUGUGGCCCACUAAUACCUAUAUUAAAGCAUCAUAAAAUAGAAUGGCAUGGGAUCUUUAAGAAGCUUAUCUCCAUAUAAAUCUGAGCUGUACAUGAAUCUGUUAAUGAAGUCUCAUUUCGACUCCUUCCUCCACUUCACUAUUCAUGUUCUGUUGCUUGCAGUUAACUACAGCCGCCCUUCCUGGGUAACGCCACCACCAAUCCCUGGUCAUCCAUUGAAGCCAUCUCUCUCACUCUGCACAGUCACACUGUUGCCGCUUCAUUCUCAUUGUCUCAUAAUCUCAUUAUUAAGGCUGCUGUGGAUGCUUUAAAAAUAAACAUUUUUCUCUUAGGUAAAAUCAAACCAGUGGGAUGUUAGAUUGAAAACCUCCAAAGCAAUGUAUUAAAAAUUGAAAGACAGUCCUAUGUGAAGUUUCUUUUUUGGGGAUUUUCAAAAUGAGGUACGAAGCUAGAAUGGAUUGUCCCACUGUUUCUCAACCCUCUGAGAUUAUUACUAUGAGUAGUAGUAUUGCAUGCAUACAGUACUCACAUCAGCGCCACAGUAAGCCUAUAGAGGCUGCAACCAUUUGCUUCUCAACAGAUUGUGGUGUUUUAGAAUGAAGGACCACUAGAGAGACAAGACAGGCGCCGCUACUAUGCUAGCUACUAGGUAGUAACACCAGACCAGCAUUAAUCAAUCAAAAUAAGCUAUAUCGACUGGCUGCUUUUCACCAACCAGAGCUGAUCCAAGUGUUCUCAUCAAGGGGUUGCGGGAGAUGAUGCCACACUCUCCACCGCUUGUUCUUGCUCUGCCCUUUUCUUCCCAAGGAAUUUUCUUAUGUCCAUCUCUUAUCAACGAUAUUUUAUAACUGUACUUGACCUGAGAAGACCUCUGAGAAGUGGCGGGCGCCAGGGUGUUGCCAUAGCAACACCUGAAUUUGUUUUCGACACCAAGUUGGCUAGAUUUAUAUAUG